UACAAAGUUCAUCCAGAUAAGACCAAGUUCACAGCCGUCACUGAUACUCCUGUGCUGCUGCAAGCCCAGCUCAACACGAAACAGCUUAGCGAUCUGAAUUACAAAGCAAAACAUGAAAGUGAGAAGUUCAAGUGCAAUGUACCAGGAGAUGCUCCACAGUUUAUCCAACACAAAGUCAAUGCCUAUAACUUAAGUGAUAAUAUCUACAAGCAUGACUGGGAGAAGAGCAAAGCGAAGAAAUUCGACAUUAAAGUGGACGCCAUUCCCCUGC